rnacentral:rRNA from 1 species
AGAGAAUAGAUACCCCGGUAGUCCUGGCAGUAAACGGUGCACGUUUGGUGUGGGCGCAAUCGACCGCGUCCGCGCCGGAGCUAAACGCGUUAAACGUGCCGCCUGGGAAGUACGGUCGCAAGAUUAAAACUCAAAGAAAUUGACGGGGACCCGCACAAGCGGUGGAGUAUGUGGCUUAAUUCGAUGCAACGCGAAGAACCUUACCUGGUCUUGACAUGCAUUGUGUCUCCGGUGAAAGCCGGAUAGGGCAGCAAUGCCCGCUUUGCACAGGUGCUGCAUGGCUGUCGUCAGCUCGUGUCGUGAGAUGUUGGGUUAAGUCCCGCAACGAGCGUAACCCCUGUGAUUUGUUGCCACCGGCUUAUGCCGAGCACUCGAAUCAGACUGCCUCGAUCAACGAGGAGGAAGGUGGGGAUGACGUCAAGUCCGUAUGGCCCUUACGACCAGGGCUGCACACGUACUACAAUGCUCAGCACAAUGUGAACCGAUGCCGCGAGGUGGAGGAAAUCAAC